AGGGCCUAUAGCUCAGUUGGUUAGAGCACACGCCUGAUAAGCGUGAGGUCGGUGGUUCAAGUCCAUUUAGG
rnacentral:tRNA from 1 species